rnacentral:sRNA from 1 species
AUAAACGUGAAUUACAUUUUACUUAAGAAUAUCUUUACAUCUGUUUUACCAGUUCGUUUUGAAAAAUUUCUGUUAGUAACAUGCAUUAUAUCUAUCGUUCUACACAGCUAAACCGGCGUGCAUGCGCUUUUUAUUGACAAAAAUUAGGAAAAGACUAUGUCUAAAUCAACUGGGAUCGUUAAGUGGUUCAACGCAGAAAAAGGCUUCGGCUUUAUUACUCCUGACAAUGGCGGAUCAGAUGUAUUUGUUCACUUUCGUGCUAUCGCGAGUGACGGCUAUAAAACGUUAAAUGAAGGUCAGCAAGUGACUUUUGAUAUUGAGCAAGGCCAAAAAGGUCCCCAAGCGGCCAACGUGACUGUGUAAUACAGCAUUUUAGUCGAUAAGAAAAAACGUCAGCCUUUGCUGACGUUUUUUGU